GUGCUCGCUGUGGCAGUGCAGAUACUAAAGCUGGAGCGAUGCAGAGAAGAUUAGCGUGGCCCCUGCACAGGGAGGACAUGCACCUUUGUGAAACGUUCCAUAUUUAA